rnacentral:rRNA from 1 species
CCCUUCAGAGGGGGACAACAGUUGGAAACGACUGCUAAUACCGCAUACGAUCCAAUCUCGGCAUCGAGACUGGAUGAAAGGUGGCCUCUAUUUAUAAGCUAUCACUGAAGGAGGGGAUUGCGUCUGAUUAGCUAGUUGGAGGGGUAACGGUCCACCAAGGCGAUGAUCAGUAGCCGGUCUGAGAGGAUGAACGGCCACAUUGGGACUGAGACACGGCCCAG